rnacentral:rRNA from 1 species
CCUACGGGGGGCAGCAGUAGGGAAUCUUUCACAAUGGGCGAAAGCCUGAUGGAGCAACGCCGCGUGCAGGAUGAAGGCCUUCGGGUUGUAAACUGCUUUUAUAAGCGAGAAAUAUGAUGGUAACUUAUGAAUAAGGAUCGGCUAACUACGUGCCAGCAGCCGCGGUCAUACGUAGGAUCCGAGCAUUAUCCGGAGUGACUGGGGGUAAAGAGUUGCGUAGGUGGCAUAAUAAGUAGCUAGUGAAAUCUGGUGGCUCAACCAUUCAGACUAUUAGCUAAACUGUUAAGCUCGAGACCGUUAGGGGUAACUGGAAUUUCUAGUGUAGGAGUGAAAUCCGUAGAUAUUAGAAGGAACACCAAUAGCGUAGGCAGGUUGCUGGGACGGUUCUGACACUAAGGCACGAAAGCGUAGGGAGCAAACGGGAUUAGAUACCCCAGUAGUC